GGGCACCACUGUUCUUAGGUCUGGGGCAACCCUGAUUUCACUUGACCCAUGUACCUUGGGACCCUCUUGAGAGGAGAUAUGGCAGAGCAGAUGCAAUGGCACCCCUGAGCUGCCCUCAGGGAGUCCUCAGCCUUGGAGGAGGCAGGAGACCUGGGCUAUGGAGCCACUCACAGGCCCUACUGAGAACAACUUGGUAUCCAUCACAGUCCUCUUCAGAAUGCCCAGAAUAUGGGGAUAAGACGGUGAAACCGGCGUGUUUAUUAACACAAUGGAAUAUUCUGUGGCCAAAUCAAAGGAAGACGUUGAGGAUACUGGUGACACCUGGAAACGUACUGCUAAGGGAAAAAAGCAGGACCACAAUGUUAUGUGGAUAUUGACUGCGACUAUAUAAUGCCAGCGUGGACUUCUCAGAGAUGGAAUUUGGAGGAAUGUAAUACAGAUGCAAAUAGAGUUUUCCCCACACUGCCUUCUCCUGCGGUGUUUCUUCAUCUCUGUCAACAGCCUUGCCACCUACUCUGUUGCCCAAACCAGAAACUUGAUUCAAACUAGACUUCUCC
rnacentral:lncRNA from 1 species